AUGAGCAAACAUAUGCUAGGCAGGAUGCUCGAUACUCUAGUGCGUGCAGACAGUAUCGCCAGUGAAGGAGGAGAGAGAGUGUUGAUUAACACACAGCAUUUGAUUCGUUUUUAGCUACUGGUGAUGAGCAGGACUUGCAGGAGGUUCUGCUGGGGAGUCCCAAGAUGAGGAGUACACCUGAAUGGUUGUCGGACUUGGGGAUGGAGUUAGGGGAACCCAUUGAGGGCGCGGUUGAAAGGAGUGAUAACUGGAGUGGCGUUAAGUGUUGAGGAGGGCCAACUGAAGUUGAAGAUUCCCGGUGUCUGUGACACCUGCCGUUUGGUGCGAUGCAGAGAGAGCAUGGUGAAACAGAGAAGACACUCUCUAAUACUGAGUUUUGAUGCAGAGUCUUUACAAGAUAAAGUCAAGUUAUGGUCAUGUGGCAGCUGUCUAGUUAACUAUGUGUAUGACACCACCUACUGGUGCUGAGUACUCGCUGACACUACCUACAGCAGAUUACGAAACAAGGAAACCAUUCAGCUGGGGGAACAUCCUCCACCACCACACCAUUAACACACAAACAGAUUUACUUCCUAGCCUUAUGUCCUCAAACUCAGGUCUGGAAGCUGAGGCCAUCUCUGUAAGGAAUUCACUGUUGGGCCAUGUGGGAGUGACGUGGGAAAAGGCAUCAUACCAAUGACUGUAUUGAAGGAGGAGGGCCUUCUUCAAGCAGCCUGUGUUUCCUGUGCCCAGAGGGGGAGCCAGAUUCCUUUCAUGAGCAUCUGUGGAGCUGCAUCUGCACUGCCGAAGGAGAAUGCCCAACAUUCCCAGAAUACGAACACAUUCCGCUGUAGAUUAGACUAAAGCAGAACGUCUAUACAGACUACUUAUAGUCAUAGCAUCUGUAUGAUAUAUCCAGCUUAUUACAGGAGUUUAAUUUUCUAAUGAAAUGUAUCUCUUUAAGGCUAUUGUUGUCGUUAAUCAUUUCAAAGAGCCAUGCCCAAAAACAGAAAUACCAAAACAUUCCAAACAGCUCAAUCUUUUGAAGUUAGCAAUUCAUUUCUGAUGCACCGUCGCAGGACAAAACAUGGCCAAAUAAAGUAUAAGACAGACUUCAGUUGCCUCAAAUUUGACAUUCCCUAUGCUGGUUAAAUGUCAUCUGCCACAAAGGUAGACAAAACAUUAAUCUACCUCGGAGCAGACCUGGGUUCAAUACAUGCAUAUUUCUGUGUAUUUGAGCAUUUUCAAAUGAUUUCGCCAAAUCAGCUACUUUAAUUUUAAGUAUUUGAAAGUGUUUUUGAACAAUUAUAUAAAUAGCCAUCCUCAGUUACUUCAAAUACCCCCAGGACCAAAUGGACCCGAGGACAAAUGCAAAGGGUAUUUUAAUAUUUGUAUUCGAAAAUAUACUUGUUUGUGUAUUUAAGCAUUUUCAAAUACAUGCCAAUACUUUUAAAGUGUAUUUCCAAGUUGAAAUUCAACUACUUGUAUUUAACAAAAAAAAUCUAAAUACUGACUUCAAGUGUUUUUGUAAGUACUUGAAAUACCCUAAAUAGUAUUUGCACCCUGGUCUGCCUUAGAUAGAAAUUCAUUAGGCUAGAUGUAAGUAUACAGUAUGCUACUAAUAGUGUAUGAACGUGUUUGCAUCUUUGCCGUAAACUGUAACAUGCACAUGCAUCUUAUCUUUGCU